rnacentral:rRNA from 1 species
UGGAAAGAUGAAUCAAAGAAGGUAAUAAUCCUGUAGUCGAAAAUGUUGUCUCUCUUGAGUGGAUCCUGAGUACGACGGAGCACGUGAAAUUCCGUCGGAAUCUGGGAGGACCAUCUCCUAAGGCUAAAUACUCUCUAGUGACCGAUAGUGAACCAGUACCGUGAGGGAAAGGUGAAAAGCACCCCGGAAGGGGAGUGAAACAGAACCUGAAACCGUGUGCUUACAAGUAGUCAGAGCCCGUUAAUGGGUGAUGGCGUGCCUUUUGUAGAAUGAACCGGCGAGUUACGAUUUGAUGCAAGGUUAAGCAGUAAAUGUGGAGCCGUAGCGAAAGCGAGUCUGAAUAGGGCGUUUAGUAUUUGGUCGUAGACCCGAAACCAGGUGAUCUACCCUUGGUCAGGUUGAAGUUCAGGUAACACUGAAUGGAGGACCGAACCGACUUACGUUGAAAAGUGAGCGGAUGAACUGAGGGUAGCGGAGAAAUUCCAAUCGAACCUGGAGAUAGCUGGUUCUCUCCGAAAUAGCUUUAGGGCUAGCCUCAAGUGAUGAUUAUUGGAGGUAGAGCACUGUUUGGACGAGGGGCCCCUCUCGGGUUACCGAAUUCAGACAAACUCCGAAUGCCAAUUAAUUUAACUUGGGAGUCAGAACAUGGGUGAUAAGGUCCGUGUUCGAAAGGGAAACAGCCCAGACCACCAGCUAAGGUCCCAAAAUAUAUGUUAAGUGGAAAAGGAUGUGGCGUUGCCCAGACAACUAGGAUGUUGGCUUAGAAGCAGCCAUCAUUUAAAGAGUGCGUAAUAGCUCACUAGUCGAGUGACACUGCGCCGAAAAUGUACCGGGGCUAAACAUAUUACCGAAGCUGUGGAUUGUCCUUUGGACAAUGGUAGGAGAGCGUUCUAAGGGCGUUGAAGCAUGAUCGUAAGGACAUGUGGAGCGCUUAGAAGUGAGAAUGCCGGUGUGAGUAGCGAAAGACGGGUGAGAAUCCCGUCCACCGAUUGACUAAGGUUUCCAGAGGAAGGCUCGUCCGCUCUGGGUUAGUCGGGUCCUAAGCUGAGGCCGACAGGCGUAGGCGAUGGAUAACAGGUUGAUAUUCCUGUACCACCUAUAAUCGUUUUAAUCGAUGGGGGGACGCAGUAGGAUAGGCGAAGCGUGCGAUUGGAUUGCACGUCUAAGCAGUAAGGCUGAGUAUUAGGCAAAUCCGGUACUCAUUAAGGCUGAGCUGUGAUGGGGAGAAGACAUUGUGUCUUCGAGUCGUUGAUUUCACACUGCCGAGAAAAGCCUCUAGAUAGAAAAUAGGUGCCCGUACCGCAAACCGACACAGGUAGUCAAGAUGAGAAUUCUAAGGUGAGCGAGCGAACUCUCGUUAAGGAACUCGGCAAAAUGACCCCGUAACUUCGGGAGAAGGGGUGCUCUUUAGGGUUAACGCCCAGAAGAGCCGCAGUGAAUAGGCCCAAGCGACUGUUUAUCAAAAACACAGGUCUCUGCUAAACCGUAAGGUGAUGUAUAGGGGCUGACGCCUGCCCGGUGCUGGAAGGUUAAGAGGAGUGGUUAGCUUCUGCGAAGCUACGAAUCGAAGCCCCAGUAAACGGCGGCCGUAACUAUAACGGUCCUAAGGUAGCGAAAUUCCUUGUCGGGUAAGUUCCGACCCGCACGAAAGGCGUAACGAUUUGGGCACUGUCUCAACGAGAGACUCGGUGAAAUCAUAGUACCUGUGAAGAUGCAGGUUACCCGCGACAGGACGGAAAGACCCCGUGGAGCUUUACUGUAGCCUGAUAUUGAAAUUCGGCACAGCUUGUACAGGAUAGGUAGGAGCCUUUGAAACGUGAGCGCUAGCUUACGUGGAGGCGCUGGUGGGAUACUACCCUAGCUGUGUUGGCUUUCUAACCCGCACCACUUAUCGUGGUGGGAGACAGUGUCAGGCGGGCAGUUUGACUGGGGCGGUCGCCUCCUAAAAGGUAACGGAGGCGCUCAAAGGUUCCCUCAGAAUGGUUGGAAAUCAUUCAUAGAGUGUAAAGGCAUAAGGGAGCUUGACUGCGAGACCUACAAGUCGAGCAGGGUCGAAAGACGGACUUAGUGAUCCGGUGGUUCCGCAUGGAAGGGCCAUCGCUCAACGGAUAAAAGCUACCCCGGGGAUAACAGGCUUAUCUCCCCCAAGAGUUCACAUCGACGGGGAGGUUUGGCACCUCGAUGUCGGCUCAUCGCAUCCUGGGGCUGUAGUCGGUCCCAAGGGUUGGGCUGUUCGCCCAUUAAAGCGGUACGCGAGCUGGGUUCAGAACGUCGUGAGACAGUUCGGUCCCUAUCCGUCGUGGGCGUAGGAAAUUUGAGAGGAGCUGUCCUUAGUACGAGAGGACCGGGAUGGACAUACCUCUGGUGUACCAGUUGUCGUGCCAACGGCAUAGCUGGGUAGCUAUGUGUGGACGGGAUAAGUGCUGAAAGCAUCUAAGCAUGAAGCCCCCCUCAAGAUGAGAUUUCCCAACUUCGGUUAUAAGAUCCCUCAAAGAUGAUGAGGUUAAUAGGUUCGAGGU